AUUGAACGCUGGCGGCAGGCCUAACACAUGCAAGUCGGACGGUAGCACAGAGGAGCUUGCUCCUCGGGUGACGAGUGGCGGACGGGUGAGUAAUGUCUGGGGAUCUGCCCGAUAGAGGGGGAUAACCACUGGAAACGGUGGCUAAUACCGCAUAACGUCGCAAGACCAAAGAGGGGGACCUUCGGGCCUCUCACUAUCGGAUGAACCCAGAUGGGAUUAGCUAGUAGGCGGGGUAACGGCCCACCUAGGCGACGAUCCCUAGCUGGUCUGAGAGGAUGACCAGGCACACUGGAACUGAGACACGGUCCAGACUCCUACGGGAGGCAGCAGUGGGGAAUAUUGCACAAUGGGCGCAAGCCUGAUGCAGCCAUGCCGCGUGUAUGAAGAAGGCCUUCGGGUUGUAAAGUACUUUCAGCGGGGAGGAAGGCGAUGUGGUUAAUAACCGCAUUGAUUGACGUUACCCGCAGAAGAAGCACCGGCUAACACCGUGCCAGCAGCCGCAGUAA
rnacentral:rRNA from 1 species